rnacentral:rRNA from 1 species
GGGAUUGCCCCAGUAACGGCGAGUGAAGCGGCAACAGCUCAAAUUUGAAAUCUGGUACCUUCGGUGCCCGAGUUGUAAUUUGUAGAGGGUGUCUCGGGGGGAGUGCCGGUCCAAGUCCCUUGGAACAGGAUGUCAUAGAGGGUGAGAACCCCGUAUCCGGCUGGUCACUCCGUCCAUGUGAGACCCCUUCGACGAGUCGAGUUGUUUGGGAAUGCAGCUCUAAAUGGGUGGUAAAUUCCAUCUAAAGCUAAAUACCGGCCAGAGACCGAUAGCGCACAAGUAGAGUGAUCGAAAGAUGAAAAGCACUUUGAAAAGAGAGUCAAACAGUACGUGAAAUUGUUGAAAGGGAAGCGUAUGCGGCCAGACUUGCCCGCGGUUGCUCAGCCUGUCUUCUGGCAGGUGUACUCUUCCGCGGUCAGGCCAGCAUCGGUUUGGGCGGUCGGACAAAGGCGCUGGGAAUGUGGCCCCUCGGGGUGUUAUAGCCCAGCGUGCAAUGCGACCCGCCCGGACCGAGGCCCGCGUUCUGCUAGGAUGCUGGCGUAAUGGCCGUAUACGGCCCGUCUUGAAACACGGACCAAGGAGUCUAACAUCUAUGCGAGUGUUUGGGUGUCAAGCCCGGGCGCGCAAUGAAAGUGAACGGAGGUGGGAGCUUCGGCGCACCAUCGACCGAUCCUGAUGUCUUCGGAAGGAUUUGAGUAAGAGCAUAGCUGAUAGGACCCGAAAGAUGGUGAACUAUGCGUGAAUAGGGUGAAGCCAGAGGAAACUCUGGUGGAGGCUCGCAGCGG